UUCUGUUUAGUGUCAGAAAACAAAACAGAAAAAACAAAAAACCACCUCAGAGAGGAGUGUGUAAGAAAACACACGAGUGACGGCUCUGAGGAUAACAAGUUCUUGUCUGCUACUCCCAGUACGUAGGCCUGCCCUUCCCAUCUACACCUUCCCGUCCCCCCUUUGCCUAAGCCCUGCGCUGAUACUGUCAGACCCAAACUAGUCCGUCCACACCAGCCAGCCGCUGCGGGUCUCCAAGAGGCCCCCAGAUCUGUCUGCGUUUGAGUAGUAACUGGCUUGACCUUCAGGCCUUCCAAGUUCUGCAGCUUCCCAUCCGAAGCCUGUCACUGAAACACCUGCUCCCUCCUGGCACCUUCCACCUUGAGGCAGACUUACUCCCCACGCCUUUUAUUCCUCCAGCCCACGCCCACCUCCAUUUUUCAGCGAGGUCCUAGCCAAGAUAGCUCCUCUGGUCUUCGCUCACCCAGUCCAAUCCUUCUUGCUUUUAGAUUUCCUUAAAUCUAACUUCGACUCAGAAGCCUUUUGCAGCCGACUUCACUGACGUCACCCGUGGUUCUGUCAUUACUGUUCCACCUGCUUGCACUGAAGGUGAUGGAGCCUGAGAUACAGCCGACCUCAGUGCUUCACUGAAUCCUCGGACGAGAGGACCCCAGGACAGGUCCCACCACUGCCUCCUUUCCCACUUGGACACUGCUGCUCCCACCAAGUUUAGAGCUGCAAAGAGAGGUCCUUUCUCAUAUUUAUGUAUAAACAGGUACCAGUUUUGAUUUUAUUUCAUCAUAUUAACAUUCAUGACACAUCAAAAUGAGAAAUGCACAAUUGAACCAUUCAACAGCUUGCCUGACUCCAAAAGAACACUAUAUUCAUAUUAAACAUUUAUAUAGUCUUUCCACGUAACUUUACAAACGUCCUAAACCAUUUUCCAGCAUUUCUCACACAGAAGUCUAGUUUUGCUCUUUUAGAUCACCAUCCCGUAUCUUCUAGUAGCCCUCGGGGCUCCCCCUCCAACUCCUGCAGACGAGAGCCAGCCCACGCCACGCCCCAGAGGCUGCCCCUUGGGCAGGACAGUCUCGAGUCCAAGGGCUGAUUACUUGACAUUAGCAAUCAGGGACUAAAGGCUGUAGCUUAUGACCACAUCAGUCACAGGAAGGAUGGGGACCACAGCCAAGAGAAAUCCCAGAUGAUGGAAGGCCAGUUGCCACCCAGAGAUCUCAUUAAAACCAAAUCCCACAACCCUCCUGAAACCCACUUAACAUUAGAGCCAUUACCUCCACGUCUUACAAAUGUCCCACAGCGGUGACCAGACUCUGGAAGCAGGGAGCUGUUACACAUUUGGUGUGCGUGUAUACAUAACACAUCAGAAAUUACUGUGCAAAACCUUGAUAAUGUCUGAUUACACCCCCAAUUUAAAUGUAUAUAGGAAAACCAACUCAAUCACUUAACAGAACUUUUCCAGUAUGGUAACAGCGCACUCCCUGCACGGUUCACGCUCUCUAUUUUACACCCAUAGCUUAGCCCACAAUUUGUGCAUAACCAGUUACGUUAUAUGAAGACCAUAGUCGUCGUGAUCAAGUCGGUUUUGAAUCAUGUCAUUCUAUGCUGGUUUCAGCAGUCACCAGAGGAAACAUGAAGUCACAUCCUAGUCAAAGGACUGUCCAUUUCUCACACAUAGAAAAACCUGAGAUAUGAGUCAGCAACUAGCUACACUUACAGUAAAGAACAACACUAAGACCCACCCACCACCCUAAAAAAAAAGCUGCUGACGUGAAUUAAGGCUUCAAAACAGGACCAGACUGUAGCUGACAAAACUCAAGCCAAAACGUUUAAAAGCAGGUAAGUACUGUCACUUGUGUACUUGUUCUAAUCACCUCCUAUUUUCAGCUGCCAGGAUUGAUUCCAUACAGUGAUUGUAGGUCACGGACUGAGACCACUUGGUCCCGCUCCAUUUUGAUAUGUCCCGUCUCCUAAAAAAUGCUGGGGAUCGUUUCUGAGAAUAGUUGGGCUGUGUCUUUCCGCCCUGCCUGCAACGAAACAAAAUGCAGCCCCCUUCCCCUCACCUCCCUGCACUGUUCAUUUCUGAACAUUCCUUGCUAACCAAAGCGUCUCUCAGCCCUGUCAGUGAACCUGAAAGUCUAAGGACAUUACAGAAAAUACCUUCACCGCACGCGAAGGGAGAAAGCCACGCGAAGGGAGAAAAUGACAGUUUACUGCUUCUCAGCAGUUUCACCUUCUCUGAUCCUUCCACAGUUUUCUAUCUCUUGGCGGUUUCCUAUAAAAUGCUACCUUAUUGUUCUGCUUUCACAAAAUGCAUCUGGGUAAUGAAACCGAAAUGGAAAGCAUCUAGUUUGGCUGAGAACUCGGAGCUGCUGCUCUGCUACCAAAGAAAUUCACAUCUGGCUUGAAACCAAGUUCAUCUUUAAAAGCUUAACAAUCCCAUCUUGAACAAGUCUUUGAUUUAUGAAGAGGGAGGUAGCCUUGGUUAGCCUCCCAACCUUAGCUUAAAUCACAAUGUGGCCAGACUGCUGGCUGUUAAGCUGACUGCGAGAUAGCUUCCCUUCUUUCUUCAUGAAGCUGAGAAGAAAGAACACAUUAACAGCCUCCAUCCAGGCCCAACUGGAAAUGUGUGCAGAGACGGACUGAGUUGGUCUGAAAGGUGAGACUAGCUACCUGCCUAUUCACAAUGCCUAGAAAACGGGCCACCGGACCUGGUCGUGGUGAAGGCCCGGCUUCCUGCCUGAGGUACUGGGUUUGCUCUAAAGUAGAUCUUGGCAAGGCCCCUAAUGGUCGGUCAGCAGAACGACGCUGGCGUCACUCAGCUGGCCGGUGAGCUUGGAUUGGUGAAUCAGCUUUGGAUGCGAUCGUUUCUCUUGGAUCUACCAUUAGGUUCUGUUCCUAGUAGGGUCUCCCCACCCGACCCACAAGCUGGCUCAGUCUCAGCGCUAAGGUGCACUACGGAAGGGACCGGACAAAGAGACUGGUAUCCGAGCUCUCCUUGUAGCGUGACAAGAAAACGGUGGGGGUGUCUGUGCUCAGACACCAAGUAGAACUCGACCUAGUAAGAACCAGAGAUGUGCAAUCCAUUGCAUACAACUGUUUCAUCGGUCUGGGGGAAGCUAGCGUCUGCCCUUCCACUUGGGUGAGAGAAGUAUUAGCUGCUCUCAAACGCAGAUGUU